rnacentral:misc_RNA from 1 species
UACGUAGGGGGCAAGCGUUGUCCGGAAUUAUUGGGCGUAAAGCGCGCGCAGGCGGCCUCAUAAGUCUGAUGUGAAAGCCCACGGCUCAACCGUGGAGGGUCAUUGGAAACUGUGGAGCUUGAGUACAGGAGAGGAGAGUGGAAUUCCACGUGUAGCGGUGAAAUGCGUAGAGAUGUGGAGGAACACCAGUGGCGAAGGCGGCUCUCUGGCCUGUAACUGACGCUGAGGCGCGAAAGCGUGGGUAGCGAACAGG